rnacentral:rRNA from 1 species
UACAGAGGUCUCAAGCGUUGUUCGGAUUCAUUGGGCGUAAAGGGUGCGUAGGUGGGCAGGUAAGUCAGUGGUGAAAUCUCCGGGCUUAACUCGGAAACUGCCAUUGAUACUAUCUGUCUUGAAUACCGUGGAGGUUAGCGGAAUAUGUCAUGUAGCGGUGAAAUGCUUAGAUAUGACAUAGAACACCAAUUGCGAAGGCAGCUGGCUACACGAAUAUUGACACUGAUGCACGAAAGCGUGGGGAUCAAACAGG